rnacentral:sRNA from 1 species
AAGAGAAGAUGAGAAACU